GCCUUUACAGCCUUGGCCAUUUCUUCAACACCAUCAAGGUUUUCUCUUAUUGCCAGAUGAUAAUAGUUUUGAAGUACAUCUGUUUUGCCAUCAGUAAGCCCACUUUUACAUGCCCGAUGCACUCUGGUUUGUUGGGUAUGCAAUCUUCUCCAUAGGGCUUGCUUUCCAGAAUAGCACUGUAAGUAUACGAAUCACCAUCUCCAAGCAUAUCUUUGUAUUUCAGCCCCCUUGAAGAACAUGACCUUUCAAAAAUCCUUAGUGCACCAGCCGUCUCCAUGCUGCCGGAACUCCCUGUAUGAUUGAUCUUACAUUGGUGCGUUACUUUCCAUUCUUGAUACUUUGGGUCAUUCUGCUUCAUGUUCCACUUGAGACACUGUUGGCACUUGUUGGACAGGGCUUCAACAUCUAGGCGCUUCUUUGUAUCGAACGAAAUUGCUGUAACAACACCAUUGUG